rnacentral:rRNA from 1 species
GACGAACGCUGGCGGCGUGCUUAACACAUGCAAGUCGAACGGAAAGGCCCUGCUUUUGUGGGGUGCUCGAGUGGCGAACGGGUGAGUAACACGUGAGUAACCUGCCCUUGACUUUGGGAUAACUUCAGGAAACUGGGGCUAAUACCGGAUAGGAGCUCCUGCUGCAUGGUGGGGGUUGGAAAGCUUCGGCGGUUGGGGAUGGACUCGCGGCUUAUCAGCUUGUUGGUGGGGUAGUGGCUUACCAAGGCUUUGACGGGUAGCCGGCCUGAGAGGGUGACCGGCCACAUUGGGACUGAGAUACGGCCCAGACUCCUACGGGAGGCAGCAGUGGGGAAUAUUGCACAAUGGGCGGAAGCCUGAUGCAGCAACGCCGCGUGCGGGAUGACGGCCUUCGGGUUGUAAACCGCUUUCGCCAGUGACGAAGCGUGAGUGACGGUAAUGGGUAAAGAAGCACCGGCUAACUACGUG